UUGCCACAACUGGUGCAUGUAUGCUAAAACUGGAAUGACACAGAGAUUAGCCUGGCCCCUGCACAAGGAUGACAUGCAAAUUUGUGGAAUGGUCUGCAUUGUU